AAAUCCCAUUCAUCAUUGUCGUCUCCACAUUUUCUGAAUCCAAAUGUUAUCGAGACUCCUCCCUUAUAAUCGUCGCAGUCCGACCAAAGUCGGCGUCGUCGCUCCAUCUCCACACCAUACUCCCCCGUCCUUGCCCCUAUUCGCCGGCGGCGUCGCCGCAAUCCUGCCCCAAGUUGAGCCGCCGCCCCUUCCUCCUAUCGUUUCUCUGAAAAACAUGGACCAGUCGCCUCCACCAACUCUCACCACCACCACCGCCUUCGCCGUGCCGGCCACCAUCUACACAUGCCACCUCUUUGUCCCUCCACCGUGAUUCCCCCGCCAGCCCUCCGAUCUGCCACCUCCCCGCCACCGCCGCCUUCGUCGCGCCGGCCACCGCCUUACCUCCUGCUGCAAUCUGCCACCUCCAUCAAAUUCCCUCAAUUUCGCUUAUCCAACGAGACUUUCCCCUCACCCCCGCCACGAUUCAUUCUGAUGUUUGGUGUCUCCAGCCACUGCCGCCCCUUCCUCCCAUCAUUUCUUCCACCGCGUUUCGCAGCACUCCGGCUCCAAGUCGGCGCCGCCUCAACCACCAUUGCUCUAACAUGCACCCAAAUCGAAUAUUUUUUGCUUACUUCCAUCUACAAUUGUAAGUUGUUGAAGCUUCAAGCAAUGAAGAGAUUUGGAGCUGGAGGACGCUCUGAUCCUUAUAUUUACAUGGCUGCUGGAAUCUUACGAGUGUGAUCCACUUUUGGAUCUUUACAGUUGGAUCAUGUUUGCAUGAAAUCAUGAAUAAUGUGAUUGAAAAACUAUGGGAAAGAGUAAGAGAAAUAUUUGGCUAUCAAAGUCCCAUAUGAAAUUUUGCUAAUCCACGAGUUCUAUUCUUGAUGAAACUGUGAUAAGUUCGUAAAUGGAGAAUAAUUCCCUGACAGUACCCAACAUAUUAACCGCAACAGGCUUGAAGUUCGAAUCAUUAUUAGUUAUAGAACUUUUUUUUGUAGCGUGUAACCUGUCGAAUUCUAAAUCUUUUUUUUUCGUACAAUUUAUUGAGAUUUUGAUUAUUUUUUUAAAAAAAUUUAUUUCUCAUACUUGUGAUGUGGGGUGAUAAUUAGCCAAUGG